CCUACGGGAGGCAGCAGUGGGGAAUAUUGCACAAUGGGGGAAACCCUGAUGCAGCGACGCCGCGUGAGUGAAGAAGUAUUUCGGUAUGUAAAGCUCUAUCAGCAGGGAAGAAGCAAGACGGUACCUGACUAAGAAGCCCCGGCUAACUACGUGCCAGCAGCCGCGGUAAUACGUAGGGGGCAAGCGUUAUCCGGAUUUACUGGGUGUAAAGGGAGCGUAGACGGUAUGGCAAGUCUGAAGUGAAAGCCCAUGGCUUAACCCUGGGAUUGCUUUGGAAACUGUUAGACUAGAGUGCUGAGAGGGAAGGUGGAAUUCAUGGUGUAGCGGUGAAAUGCGUAGAUAUUAGGAGGAA
rnacentral:rRNA from 1 species